rnacentral:tRNA from 1 species
GCGCAGCCUGGUAGCGCACUUGCAUGGGGUGCAAGGGGUCGCGAGUUCGAAUCCCGCCGCCCCGACCA